UGGGGAAUAUUGCGCAAUGGGCGAAAGCCUGACGCAGCAACGCCGUGUGAGGGAUGAAGGCUUUCGGGUCGUAAACCUCUGUCGGAAGGGAAGAACGGGCAAGGGUCUAAUAGGCCUUUGUUUUGACGGUACCUUUAGAGGAAGCACCGGCUAACUCCGUGCCAGCAGCCGCGGUAAUACGGAGGGUGCAAGCGUUAUUCGGAAUUACUGGGCGGAAAGCGCACGUAGGCCGCUUUGGAAGUCAGGGGUGAAAUCCCACGGCUCAACCGUGGAACUGCCCUUGAAACUGCAGAGCGUGAAUCCUGGAGAGGGUGGCGGAAUUCCUGGUGUAGGAGUGAAAUCCGUAGAUAUCAGGAGGAACACCGGUGGCGAAGGCGGCCACCUGGACAGGCAUUGACGCUGAGGUGCGAAAGUGUGGGGAGCAAACA
rnacentral:rRNA from 1 species